GACGAACGCUGGCGGCGUGCUUAACACAUGCAAGUCGAACGGAAAGGCCCUGCUUUUGUGGGGUGCUCGAGUGGCGAACGGGUGAGUAACACGUGAGUAACCUGCCCUUGACUUUGGGAUAACUUCAGGAAACUGGGGCUAAUACCGGAUAGGAGCUCCUGCUGCAUGGUGGGGGUUGGAAAGUUUCGGCGGGUUGGGAUGGACUCGCGGCUUAUCAGCUUGUUGGUGGGGGAGGGGCUUACCAAGGCUUUGACGGGUAGCCGGCCUGAGAGGGUGGCCGGCCACAUUGGGACUGAGAGACGGCCCAGACUCCUACGGUAGGCAGCAGUGGGGAAUCUUGCACAGUGGGCGGAAGCCUGAUGCAGCAACGCCGCGUGCGGGAUGACGGCCUUCGGGUUGUAAACCGCUUUCGCCUGUGACGAAGCGUGAGUGACGGUAAUGGGUAAAGAAGCACCGGCUAACUACGUG
rnacentral:rRNA from 1 species